rnacentral:rRNA from 1 species
AUGAACGCUGGCGGCGUGCCUAAUACAUGCAAGUCGAGCGAACAGACGAGGAGCUUGCUCCUCUGACGUUAGCGGCAGACGGGUGAGUAACACGUGGAUAACCUACCUAUAAGACUGGGAUAACUUCGGGAAACCGGAACUAAUACCGGAUAAUAUAUUGAACCGCAUGGUUCAAUAGUGAAAGACGGUUUUGCUGUCACUUAUAGAUGGAUCCGCGCCGCAUUAGCUAGUUGGUAAGGUAACGGCUUACCAAGGCAACGAUGCGUAGCCGACCUGAGAGGGUGAUCGGCCACACUGGAACUGAGACACGGUCCAGACUCCUACGGGAGGCAGCAGUAGGGAAUCUUCCGCAAUGGGCGAAAGCUUGACGGAGCAACGCCGCGUGAGUGAUGAAGGUCUUCGGAUCGUAAAACUCUGUUAUUAGGGAAGAACAAAUGUGUAAGUAACUAUGCACGUCUUGACGGUACCUAAUCAGAAAGCCACGGCUAACUACGUG